CAUGCUGUCCCUCAGCUCCUGUGAGGCCCCCCGUGUGCUCCUAUAAAGACAGUCAAUCAGGCUUCCUCCAAUGCGCCACAGACAGGAUCGUGCGGCUCACCUUUCUUCCCUUUUGCAAGGAUAACUUCUGAUGUGCUCACAGAGGCCCCUAUUUCCUUCUUUCAUCCAGUCUGAUACACUGAGUGUGUGGAAGAAGUCAGGCCUGUCGGACCUCAGUGGUCAUCUAUUGAAUUCUGCUUUGCACGCUUUAGCUGGCGUUCUCACUGUAUCCUCAGAUGCACUUUUUUGGGAAAGUGGACAUGGUGUUCCCCUGUUCUCCUUCAUUGGCCCUAAAGGUUUCCCAUUCCUUUUAAGCAAAAAUGCAAUGUACACAACUAUUCUUCCUUCAGGAUGAUGUGCUGCUUCCUCUGAUGAAGGAUCAGGGAUGCAGAAUGGGACUGAUGUAUCUGUCCAACCAUCCCACUCAUUCUCCUCACUUUGCAUGCUCUUCUCGGGGCCAUCUACAGACAGGU
rnacentral:lncRNA from 1 species